UCUUCGGAACAUCGGUGACAGGUGGUGCAUGGUUGUCGUCAGCUCGUGUCGUGAGAUGUUGGGUUAAGUCCCGCAACGAGCGCAACCCUUAUCUUCAGUAGCCAUCAUUGAGUUGGGCACUCUGGAGAGACUGCCGUGGAUAACACGGAGGAAGGUGGGGAUGACGUCAAAUCAUCAUGCCCCUUAUGUCUUGGGCUACACACG
rnacentral:rRNA from 1 species